CUGACCUUUGACAGUCUCUUGGUGACAGAGACCAGUUCUCUCUGCAUUUCUGCAGAGAAGCCUUCCGGUCUUGAAGACCCGCCCUCACACGCAGAAACUAAACGUUCACACAGGAGGAUCCUUGCCUAGGGCAGGUUCAUCUCCAUCUCAUAGUGCACUUUCCAGGGAUGCAAAGUUUUGGUACAGUGAUUUAAAGAGAACUGUUAAGGUAAUCUUUUUAGAGAGAGUUUGCUAAGUACCAAGCAUAAUGAAUGAUAAAUGACCCAAAUCACAUCAAAAUGCAAUUUCAGGGGGAAAAAAAUGGUGGAAAAAAAUGAUUCAAGAGACUUCCCAAAAAGAAAUCAGAUAAUAUAAAAAGCAUCAAGAAGCCAAAUGAUCCUGGACUUCUCAACCAUAUCACGCACAUCUCAGAGCUGCUAAGGCGAUUCUUGAACUUCUGAGUGUGCAUGGCUGUCAAGCUUCCAAACUGUCAAGUAAACACGAGAGCAAAAUAAUACAUCUUGUGCAUGCAAGGUUUUUGAAAAUAUCUCACUUCAUCCUUUGUCCCAGAAGCUAUUGUUCGGUCUAUGUCACCACAACAAGAGAGUAAACAAAGGAAAAGAACCACAGUGGAAUCAAACAAAAUCCAGAAGAGCAGAAAGUCAAAGGAAGGUCCCAGGAUGAAGACUGUGCACCCAUCAGGCUUGAGCAGGGGUCCAGGAGGGAGCAAGGAGCCAGAAGGCUCUCAGAAAUCUUUCUAGGAAAGUCAUGGAACUGCUACAAUAAUUGAAGUGUUUUAAUGUGUAGGGAGAAGAUGUUAAUUGCAGCAACAAAGAUUCUGCAGAUCAUUUUCAUCUGAGAUGUGAGACACUCUUACUACACCAGCACAAGUACUCUUCCUCUAAGAUAUAACUGGAAAAGGCUGUAAUAAACCUUAUUUCUAUGGGGACAUGAAGUGAGAAAAUGGCCUGCAUUAAGCAGUACACUUUCAAAUCUAGGCGUGUGCCCGCUCCAUGUGAAGCAGAUAGAGGACCCUUCUUUAUAAAAUGGAAAGAAAAACUGAGAACUGAAAUGGUCAAUUUAAGUGUUAACAACUUGGUUAUAUUUAUAAUGAAAAUAUGAAAAGCCAUUUGCCACAGUGAAGAUGAUCCAGCUGGACAGAGAAAAAUGCACUAUCUAUAUAUGAC